GUCUCACGAGAUCUGAUGGUUUGAUAAGGGGAAACCCCUUUCGCUUGGCUCUCAUUCUCUCUCUUGCUGCCACCAUGUAAGAAGUGCCUUUCGCGUUCUGCCACGAUUGUGAGGCCUUCCCAGCCAUGGAGAACUCCCAUGACAGAAGUGGAACACGGCCUGCACGGGUGGCACCAAGGCGGCAUCAUCAGGCUCUUCCCAAUGUGAAGGAAGCUUUGACUCCAUGGUGAACCCUUUAUUGGGGGCUGACUCCAGGCCCGGCUAUGGUU
rnacentral:lncRNA from 1 species